CCCCUGGUGGUCUAGUGCUUAGGAUUCGGUGCUCUCACCGCUGCUGCCUGCGUUCGAUUCCCGGUCAGGGAA
rnacentral:tRNA from 1 species